rnacentral:rRNA from 1 species
UAUCUCUGUAGAGUCUGCAUAUCAAUAAGCGGAGGAAAAGAAACUAACAAGGAUUCCCCUAGUAACGGCGAGUGAAGCGGGAAGAGCUCAAAUUUGAAAUCUUCAAGGUUCUACCUUGACGAAUUGUAGUUUAAAGAAGUGUUUUCGGUUAGAGGAGUAGUAAAAGUUCUUUGGAAUAGGACAUCAUAGAGGGUGAGAAUCCCGUAUUUGACUAUUCUUUCUAGCUUUGUGAUACACUUUCAAAGAGUCGGAUUGUUUGGGAAUGCAGUCCAAAAUGGGUGGUAAAUUUCAUCUAAAGCUAAAUAUUGGCGAGAGACCGAUAGCGAACAAGUACCGAUGAGGGAAAGAUGAAAAGAACUUUGAAAAGAGAGUUAAACAGUACGUGAAAUUGUCAAAAGGGAAGCGUUUGACACCAGUGUUGUUUUUCCGAAAAUCAAUUAAAAAUUGAUUCAUGCUAAGGUAGUAUUGACCUCAUCAGCUUGCAAUGCUUAGGUUUUGGGUCAUCUUUUUGAUGCACUUUUCGGUUAACAAGUCAACAUCAAUUUCUUUUGCCGUAAAAAGGUAGAAGGAAGGUGGCUUUAGUUUCGGCUGAAGUGUUUAUAGCCUUCUGCCCCUGCGGUCGGAGAGAUUGAGGUCUGCAGCGUAGAUCCUUCGGGGCUAGAUACGUUUGUGCUAAGUUAUAGCUUUUCAUAGACAACUUGUUGACUAUGUUUAGUCAUGUAGCUUACUCGUAAGUGCUAUUUUACCUACGCUUAGGAUGUUGAGCGCAUGUCUCUCUCU